UACGUAGGGUGCGAGCGUUAAUCGGAAUUACUGGGCGUAAAGGGUGCGCAGGCGGAUAUAUAAGUUAGGUGUGAAAUCCCCGAGCUCAACUUGGGAAUGGCACUUAAUACUGUAUAUCUAGAGUUAGUCAGAGGGGGGUAGAAUUCCAAGUGUAGCAGUGAAAUGCGUAGAGAUUUGGAGGAAUACCGAUGGCGAAGGCAGCCCCUGGGAUGUAACUGACGCUCAGGCACGAAAGCGUGGGUAGCAAACAGGAUUAGAAACCCCGGUAGU
rnacentral:rRNA from 1 species